CGGGUUUUAAUUAACUUGGUAACGCAGCUAACGCGUGAAGUAGACCGCCUGGGGAGUACGGUCGCAAGAUUAAAACUCAAAGGAAUUGACGGGGACCCGCACAAGCGGUGGAUGAUGUGGAUUAAUUCGAUGCAACGCGAAAAACCUUACCUACCCUUGACAUGUACGGAAGACCGAAGAGAUUUGGUUGUGCUCGAAAGAGAACCGUAACACAGGUGCUGCAUGGCUGUCGUCAGCUCGUGUCGUGAGAUGUUGGGUUAAGUCCCGCAACGAGCGCAACCCUUGUCAUUAGUUGCUACGAAAGGGCACUCUAAUGAGACUGCCGGUGACAAACCGGAGGAAGGUGGGGAUGACGUCAAGUCCUCAUGGCCCUUAUGGGUAGGGCUUCACACGUCAUACAAUGGUACAUACAGAGCGCCGCCAACCCGCGAGGGGGAGCUAAUCGCAGAAAGUGUAUCGUAGUCCGGAUUGUAGUCUGCAACUCGACUACAUGAAGUUGGAAUCGCUAGUAAUCGCGGAUCAGCAUGUCGCGGUGAAUACGUUCCCGGGUCUUGUACACACCGCCCGUCACACCAUGGGAGCGGGUUUUACCAGAAGUAGGUAGCUUAACCGCAAGGAGGGCGCUUACCACGGUAGGAUUCGUGACUGGGGUGAAGUCGUAACAAGGUAGCCGUAUCGGAAGGUGCC
rnacentral:rRNA from 1 species